UGUGGCUCUCCAGCCGUGGCCUCGCAGAGUGCUGAGGUUACAGGUGUGGCCACCUUGUCCUGCUUCUUCUCUAAGACUCACAGGACUAACGUGGAGAGGAAGCGACCUUCUGUGUCCCAGCUCCCUUGCUCUGCUCUUUCCCGCUUCUGCUGUGGGCUGAGCCGGGCCCACACGGAUGCCUGUCUGUCCUCUCGUCUUUGCCUGUGGGCCUCCUCUCUGAUGCCCCUGCAGUGUGUGAUCUGAGCCCGUUUUCCCUUGGCCCAGCCUGGCUCUACGCCGUCUGCCGUCCGUGUACUUUUCCACAGUGCCCUGCACCGAUGACGGCACCGUGUCCUUCGUAGGACACCAGUCCUGGAUAACGAGCUUCACCUGCUCAGCACGAUCCCGUCUGAACUAAUUGUGGGACAAAGAUACGGCUGUGCCAAGGAGGAUCGCCUUCUUGGGUGGAGGGUGCCGUGUACAGAGUUUUAGGAGGACAUAAUUCAACCCACCGGCCCCAGCGCCGUUCCUUCCACGGCCAACGCAUACUGCUGCACAUGGAAGACUGGACCCUCACUGCCGGUGGUGAGGGACUCCUCACCAGGGAGAGGACCUGGACUGCUCUCUCUCCUCCUCUCUCGCCCUUUCCGCUGGGGCCGUCCACAUGGUGCCCUUUGGCCUCAUCCUCUCCUCUACCAGUGAGACGGAAAUGAGGAUCUUGUUUCUCAACUUGCAAAACAGAUAAGUUAGAAGGCGAUUACUUACUUGGCAAAGGGACUCACGAGGGACUUCCUUUUAAAAACGCUCUUCCUUUUUUAAUUACAAUUUUUCUGAAAGUCAGCACUAUUUAGAAUUGCAGCUUUAAAGAUUAUGCUGUGUUUUGUGCAGAUUAAUCCUAAAUUUGUAUGAACACAUGUAUUCUAGACUUUCCCGUGAAACACAUUAUAGCCCUCUGAGGAACCGUAUAUACAAUUCAGUGAUACACAAGUAGAGGUGCGUGGGGAAAGCUGCCAGACAGGUAACCAUUUAGAGUGCUGGGCUGCACACACAUAAUUUUAUAAUCUAGAAAUAGUUCUUUCUGGAGAUUCCAGAACUACUAAAAAGGAGAUGCCUGUGUGAUAUCAGAUGAUAACUUCUUUGAAUAUAUAUAUCCAGAUCCAUACACAUUG